GGGGGGGGGUGUCGGGAUCCUGGACGUAAAGAGCUCGUAGGCGGUUCGGUAAGUCGGAUGUGAAAUCUCCACGCUCAACGUGGAGGGGCCAUUCGAUACUGCCGUGACUCGAGUCCGGUAGGGGAGUGUGGAAUUCCCGGUGUAGCGGUGAAAUGCGCAGAGAUCGGGAGGAACACCCGUAGCGAAGGCGGCACUCUGGGCCGGUACUGACGCUGAGGAGCGAAAGCGUGGGGAGCGAACAGGAUUAGAUACCCUGGUAGUCCACGCCGUAAACGUUGGGCACUAGGUGUGGGACUCUAUCGACGGGUUCCGUGCCGUAGCUAACGCAUUAAGUGCCCCGCCUGGGGAGUACGGCCGCAAGGCUAAAACUCAAAGGAAUUGACGGGGGCCCGCACAAGCGGUGGAGCAUGUGGUUCAAUUCGACGCAACGCGAAGAACCUUACCUGGGCUCGAAGCGCAGUCGACAGGGGUGGAAACACCCUUUCCCGCAAGGGCGGCUGCGUAGGUGCUGCAUGGCUGUCGUCAGCUCGUGUCGUGAGAUGUUGGGUUAAGUCCCGCAACGAGCGCAACCCUUAUCACUAGUUGCCAUCACGUAAAGGUGGGCACUCUAGAGAAACCGCCCCGGAUAACGGGGAGGAAGGUGGGGAUGACGUCAAGUCCUCAUGGCCUUUAUGUCCAGGGCUACACACGUGCUACAAUGGCCGGUACAAACCGUCGCAAACCCGCGAGGGGGAGCUAAUCGGAAAAAGCCGGCCUUAGUUCGGAUUGGAGUCUGCAACUCGACUCCAUGAAGCCGGAAUCGCUAGUAAUCGCAGAUCAGCACGCUGCGGUGAAUACGUUCCCGGGCCUUGUACACACCGCCCGUCACAUCACGAAAGUGGGCUGUACUAGAAGCCGGUGGGCUGACCCGCAAGGGGAGUAGCCGUCCAAGGUAUAGCUCAUGAUUGGGGUGAAGUCGUAACAAGGUAACC
rnacentral:rRNA from 1 species